UAACUAGCAUGUAUCUAUAAUUUAUUUCGAAAUAUAAAUUUAAACAAAAUUUCCGUCUCGAAUCAAUUAUUAUUGUUUUAAUAUUUCAAGAAUAAUUAUCGUAUGCAGGGAAUCUUUGCAAAUAUCGAUACUGCUGAUAAUUUUUAAAGAAUAAUCGCAGAUUUCAAUUAUCUGUUCGUUCGAAACGUUGCUUCUAUUGCGCAUAACCGUUCUUUUAAGAAGAGAAGGAUAGCCAGAUAGAUAGAAACUCGGGAAUGAUGAGAUGACAUUUUUUUACGUAUAUGGCGGUCUUACAAUAAGUAUUAUCUUUCCAAUUCUUUUUUCUUCAUAUUCAAAACAUCAAAAAAUUAAACGACAUUUCGAUCGAUAGCACGUGCUCGUACCAUACAUGAUGCAAACAAUUGAAUCUUAUAUGUCUAGUUUCAUCAUCCUUGCAACUGAACAGAUUUGCGAAUAAUCCAUAUAAAAAUUAUCGACCAAGGGGAAUUACGGAAAGAGGAAAACGUCGAUAUAUUCCAUCUGUUUUUUAUUCACGCAAUGUUUCUCUUACUUUCUUUAUUCUCUUUAAUCUCGUUCUACGCGUUAUAUUAUUCCCCCAACAGAACUACGAAUGUGUUAAAAUUAAAUCGAUCCGAUAAGGUAGAAAGUUGAUGCAA
rnacentral:lncRNA from 1 species